rnacentral:rRNA from 1 species
AUACGGAAGGUCCGGGCGUUAUCCGGAUUUAUUGGGUUUAAAGGGAGCGCAGGCUGAUGAUUAAGCGUGACGUGAAAUGUAGCCGCUCAACGGCUGAACUGCGUCGCGAACUGGUUAUCUUGAGUGAGUUCGAUGUUGGCGGAAUUCGUGGGGUAGCGGUGAAAUGCUUAGAUAUCACGAAGAACUCCGAUUGCGAAGGCAGCCAACAAGGCCUUUACUGACGCUAAAGCUCGAAGGUGCGGGUAUCGAACAGGAUUAGAUACCCUGGUAGUCCGCACGGUAAACGAUGGAUGCCCGCUGUUUGCGAUAUACUGUGAGCGGCCAAGAGAAAUCGUUAAGCAUCCCACCUGGGGAGUACGCCGGCAACGGUGAAACUCAAAUGAAUUGACGGGG